AGAGUUUGAUCCUGGCUCAGGACGAACGCUGGCGGCGUGCCUAACACAUGCAAGUCGAGCGAGUGAAUCUCCUUCGGGAGUGAAGCUAGCGGCGGACGGGUGAGUAACACGUGGGCAACCUGCCUCAUAGAGGGGAAUAGCCUUCCGAAAGGAAGAUUAAUACCGCAUAAGAUUGUAGCUUCGCAUGAAGUAGCAAUUAAAGGAGCAAUCCGCUAUGAGAUGGGCCCGCGGCGCAUUAGCUAGUUGGUGAGGUAACGGCUCACCAAGGCGACGAUGCGUAGCCGACCUGAGAGGGUGAUCGGCCACAUUGGGACUGAGACACGGCCCAGACUCCUACGGGAGGCAGCAGUGGGGAAUAUUGCACAAUGGGGGAAACCCUGAUGCAGCAACGCCGCGUGAGUGAUGACGGCCUUCGGGUUGUAAAGCUCUGUCUUCAGGGACGAUAAUGACGGUACCUGAGGAGGAAGCCCGGCUACUACGUGCCAGCAGCCGCGGU
rnacentral:rRNA from 1 species